rnacentral:rRNA from 1 species
GGACCAAGGAGUUUAGCGUGUGGGCGAGUCAUUUGGUGCAAAACCUAAAGGCGGAAUGAAAGUAAAGGAAACUCGCUUUCUGAGGGAGGAUGGGUAUCCUGUCCAGAUACUGGCGGUGCCCCGCACUCCCGGGGCGUCUCUUUCUCAUUACGAGUGGAGGCGCACCUAUAGCGUACACGCUGAUACCCGAAAGAUGGUGAACUAUGCCUGGCCAGGACGAAGCCAGGGGAAACCCUGGUGGAGGUCCGCAGCGAUUCUGACGUGCAAAUCGAUCGUCGGAGCUGGGUAUAGGGGCGAAAGACCAAUCGAACCAUCUAGUAGCUGGUUCCCUCUGAAGUUUCCCUCAGGAUAGCUUGCGCUCGGUUGAGAUGAGUCUCAUCCGGUAGAGCGAAUGAUUAGAGGCCUUGGGGUCGAAACGACCUCAACCUAUUCUCAAACUCCAAAUAGAUGAGAUCCCCGGCUUGCUUGAAAGUGAAGCCGGGACUCGGAUCAGAGUGCCAAGUGGGCCAAUUUUGGUAAGCAGAACUGGCGCUGUGGGAUGAACCAAACGCGGAGUUAAGGCGCCUGAAUCGACGCUCAUGUGAAACCAUGAAAGGCGUUGGUUGCUAAGGACAGCAGGACGGUGGCCAUGGAAGUCGGAA